rnacentral:rRNA from 1 species
GCCUUUAGCAACACAAGUAUUAAAGGUCCUGCCUGCCCAGUGAAAUAUUUUAAACGGCCGCGGUAUUCUAACCGUGCAAAGGUAGCGUAAUCAUUUGUCUUCCAAAUAAAGACCAGUAUGAACGGCUAAAUGAGGACAAACCUGUCUCCUGCAACCAAUCAGUGAAACUGAUCCCCCAGUCCAAAAGCUGGGAUAUAAACAUAAGACGAGAAGACCCUGUGGAGCUUAAAACCUCCAUACUACGACCACCAUAGUACAAAAUUUUUAAGUUGGGGCGACUUCGGAAUAAAAAAAAACUUCCGAGCACAGAAUCAAAAAUUCGAAACCAGGGCAAACAAGCCUAAGAAAAAAAUUGACCCAGUCAUACUGAUCAACGAACCAAGUUACCCCAGGGAUAACAGCGCUAUCUUCUUCAAGAGUCCAUAUCGACAAGAAGGUUUACGACCUCGAUGUUGGAUCAGGGCACCCCAAUGGUGCAGCCGCUAUUAAAGGUUCGUUUGUUCAACGAUUAACAGCC